CGCGUAGGCGGCCUGAUAAGUCAGAUGUGAAAGUCCACGGCUCAACCGUGGAAGUGCAUUUGAAACUGUCAGGCUUGAGUAUCGGAGGGGAGUGUGGAAUUCCCGGUGUAGAGGUGAAAUUCGUAGAGAUCGGGAGGAACACCGGUGGCGAAGGCGACACUCUGGACGAAUACUGACGCUGAGGCGCGAAAGCGUGGGGAGCAAACA
rnacentral:rRNA from 1 species